GACGAACGCUGGCGGCGUGCUUAACACAUGCAAGUCGAACGGAAAGGUCCUGCUUUUGUGGGGUGCUCGAGUUGCGAACGGGUGAGUAACACGUGAGUAACCUGCCACUGACUUUGGGAUAACUUCAGGCAACUGGGGCUAAUCCCGGAUAGGAGCUCCUGCUGCAUGGUGGGGGCUGGAAAGUUUCGGCGGUUGGGGAUGGACUCGCGGCCUAUCAGCUUGUUGGUGGGGUAGUGGCUUACCAAGGCCUUGACGGGUAGCCGGCCUGAGAGGGUGACCGGCCACGUUAGGACUGAGAUACGGCCCAGACUCCUACGGGAGGCAGCGGUGGGGUAGAGUGUACUAUAGGCGGAGGCCUGAUGCAGCAACGCCGCGUGCGGUAUGACAGCCUGCGGUUAGUAUUGCGCUUUCGCCUUUGACGAGGCGUGAGUGACGGUAAUGGGUAAAGAAGCACCGGCUAACUACGUG
rnacentral:rRNA from 1 species